AACGAACGCUGGCGGCAGGCUUAACACAUGCAAGUCGAACGCAUCCUUCGGGGUGAGUGGCAGACGGGUGAGUAACGCGUGGGAACGUGCCCUUCAGUUCGGGAUAACCCAGGGAAACUUGGGCUAAUACCGGAUACGUGCGAGAGCAGAAAGAUUUAUCGCUGAAGGAGUCGGCCCGCGUCUGAUUAGCUAGUUGGUGGGGUAAUGGCCCACCAAGGCGACGAUCAGUCGCUGGUCUGAGGGAAUGAUCAGCCACAUUGGGACUGAGACACGGCCCAAACUCUUACGAGAGCCAGCAGUGGGGAAUAUUGGACAAUGGGCGCAAGCCUGAUCCAGCCAUGCCGCGUGAGUGAUGAAGGCCUUAGGUUUGUAAAGCUCUUUCGUCCGGGACGAUAAUGACGGUACCGGAAGAAGAAGCCCCGGCUAACUUCGUGCCAGCCGCCGCAGUAA
rnacentral:rRNA from 1 species